rnacentral:rRNA from 1 species
UGAGGAAUAUUGGUCAAUGGGCGAGAGCCUGAACCAGCCAAGUCGCGUGAAGGAAGACAGUCCUAAGGAUUGUAAACUUCUUUUAUACGGGAAUAACGGGCGAUACGAGUAUUGCAUUGAAUGUACCGUAUGAAUAAGCAUCGGCUAACUCCGUGCCAGCAGCCGCGGUAAUACGGAGGAUGCGAGCGUUAUCCGGAUUUAUUGGGUUUAAAGGGUGCGUAGGUUGUUCGGUAAGUCAGCGGUGAAACCUGAGCGCUCAACGUUCAGCCUGCCGUUGAAACUGCCGGGCGUGAGUUCAGUGGCGGCAGGCGGAAUUCGUGGUGUAGCGGUGAAAUGCAUAGAUAUCACGAGGAACUCAGAUUGCGAAGGCAGCUUGCCAUACUGCGACUGACACUGAAGCACGAAGGCGUGGGUAUCAAACAGG